AGAACGAACGCUGGCGGCAUGCCUAAUGCAUGCAAGUCGAACGAGACCUUCGGGUCUAGUGGCGCACGGGUGCGUAACGCGUGGGAAUCUACCCUUGGGUUCGGAAUAACAGUUGGAAACGACUGCUAAUACCGGAUGAUGACGAAAGUCCAAAGAUUUAUCGCCCAGGGAUGAGCCCGCGUAGGAUUAGCUAGUUGGUGAGGUAAAGGCUCACCAAGGCUACGAUCCUUAGCUGGUCUGAGAGGAUGAUCAGCCACACUGGGACUGAGACACGGCCCAGACUCCUACGGGAGCAGCAGUAGGGAAUAUGGACAAUGGGGGCAACCCUGAUCCAGCAAUGCGCGUGAGUGAUGAAGGCCUUAGGUUGUAAACCUCUUCAGCGCGACGAAGCGAGAGUGACGGUAGCGCAGAAGAAGCACCGGCCAACUACGUACCAGCAGGCCGAC
rnacentral:rRNA from 1 species